GCCUUCGUGGUGUAACGGUAGCACAUUCGACGCAUAUUCGAAAGAUCCAGGGUUCGAGUCCCGGCGAGGGCA
rnacentral:tRNA from 1 species